GUUAAGCGACUAAGCGUACACGGUGGAUGCCCUGGCAGUCAGAGGCGAUGAAGGACGUGCUAAUCUGCGAUAAGCGUCGGUGAGGUGAUAUGAACCGUUAUAACCGGCGAUUUCCGAAUGGGGAAACCCAGUGUGUUUCGACACACUAUCAUUAACUGAAUCCAUAGGUUAAUGAGGCGAACCGGGGGAACUGAAACAUCUAAGUACCCCGAGGAAAAGAAAUCAACCGAGAUUCCCCCAGUAGCGGCGAGCGAACGGGGAGGAGCCCAGAGCCUGAAUCAGUGUGUGUGUUAGUGGAAGCGUCUGGAAAGGCGCGCGAUACAGGGUGACAGCCCCGUACACAAAAAUGCACAUAUUGUGAGCUCGAUGAGUAGGGCGGGACACGUGGUAUCCUGUCUGAAUAUGGGGGGACCAUCCUCCAAGGCUAAAUACUCCUGACUGACCGAUAGUGAACCAGUACCGUGAGGGAAAGGCGAAAAGAACCCCGGCGAGGGGAGUGAAAAAGAACCUGAAACCGUGUACGUACAAGCAGUGGGAGCCUCUUAAUGGGGUGACUGCGUACCUUUUGUAUAAUGGGUCAGCGACUUAUAUUCUGUAGCAAGGUUAACCGAAUAGGGGAGCCGAAGGGAAACCGAGUCUUAACUGGGCGUUAAGUUGCAGGGUAUAGACCCGAAACCCGGUGAUCUAGCCAUGGGCAGGUUGAAGGUUGGGUAACACUAACUGGAGGACCGAACCGACUAAUGUUGAAAAAUUAGCGGAUGACUUGUGGCUGGGGGUGAAAGGCCAAUCAAACCGGGAGAUAGCUGGUUCUCCCCGAAAGCUAUUUAGGUAGCGCCUCGUGAAUUCAUCUCCGGGGGUAGAGCACUGUUUCGGCAAGGGGGUCAUCCCGACUUACCAACCCGAUGCAAACUGCGAAUACCGGAGAAUGUUAUCACGGGAGACACACGGCGGGUGCUAACGUCCGUCGUGAAGAGGGAAACAACCCAGACCGCCAGCUAAGGUCCCAAAGUCAUGGUUAAGUGGGAAACGAUGUGGGAAGGCCCAGACAGCCAGGAUGUUGGCUUAGAAGCAGCCAUCAUUUAAAGAAAGCGUAAUAGCUCACUGGUCGAGUCGGCCUGCGCGGAAGAUGUAACGGGGCUAAACCAUG
rnacentral:rRNA from 1 species